rnacentral:tRNA from 1 species
GUGUGUAUGGUGAAGUGGUUUAACACUGUAGUCUGCAAAACUACUAUUCGAGGGUUCAAAUCCCUCUACACACU